AUGAUGGACUACAGGACAGAGCUGCUGAUUUUAACCAUCUACUGGGCAGGUGUUGAUGGACAGACUCUGAUAGAAUCUGCAUCAGUGGUUAAAAGACCUGGAAAAUCCCACAGAUUGAUGUACAGUCUCAGGAUUCACACUCAGCAGCUAUUAUAUGGUCUGGAUCAGACAGGCUCCUGGUAAAGGACUGGAGUGGAUCGCUUAUAUCAGCACAUCUAGUUCUCCUAUCUAUUACUCCCAGUCAGUCCAGGGUAGAUUCACCAUCUCCAGAGAUGAUUCCAGCAGUAAAGUCUAUCUACAGAUGAACAGCCUGAAGACUGAGGACACAGCAGUGUAUUACUGUGCCAGAGAGACACAGUGAGAGACAGAAAUAGAGUCGUACAAAAACUACU